rnacentral:rRNA from 1 species
UACGUAGGGUGCGAGCGUUAAUCGGAAUUACUGGGCGUAAAGCGUGCGCAGGCGGUUUGCUAAGACCGAUGUGAAAUCCCCGGGCUUAACCUGGGAACUGCAUUGGUGACUGGCAGGCUAGAGUAUGGCAGAGGGGGGGGUAGAAUUCCACGUGUAGCAGUGAAAUGCGUAGAGAUGUGGAGGAAUACCGAUGGCGAAGGCAGCCCCCUGGGCCAAUACUGACGCUCAUGCACGAAAGCGUGGGGAGCAAACAGG